rnacentral:rRNA from 1 species
UACGUAGGGGGCAAGCGUUGUCCGGAAUCAUUGGGCGUAAAGCGCGUGUAGGCGGCCAGAAAAGUCCGCUGUGAAAACUCGAGGCUCAACUUCGAGCUGUCGGUGGAAACUUUCUGGCUAGAGUCCGGAAGAGGAGAAUGGAAUUCCUGGUGUAGCGGUGAAAUGCGCAGAUAUCAGGAAGAACACCCGUGGCGAAGGCGGUUCUCUGGGACGGUACUGACGCUGGAGACGCGAAAGCCGUGGGGAGCGAACAGG